CUGUUUUUAGCUUAAGUGGAUAAAGCAUUGAUCUUCUAAAUCAAUAAUAAAGGUUCAACUCCUUUAAAACGGA
rnacentral:tRNA from 5 species